rnacentral:rRNA from 1 species
UUUGAACGCUGGCGGCAGGCAUAAGACAUGCAAGUCGAGCGAGAAAGUACUUCGGUACGAGUACAGCGGCGGACGGGUGAGUAACGCGUAGGAAUCUACCUAGUAGUGGGGGACAACUCGUGGAAACGCGAGCUAAUACCGCAUACGCCCUACGGGGGAAAGCGGGGGAUCUUCGGACCUCGUGCUAUUAGAUGAGCCUGCGUAAGAUUAGCUAGUUGGUGGGGUAAAGGCCUACCAAGGCGACGAUCUUUAGCUGGUCUGAGAGGAUGAUCAGCCACACCGGGACUGAGACACGGCCCGGACUCCUACGGGAGGCAGCAGUCGGGAAUAUUGCGCAAUGGGCGAAAGCCUGACGCAGCCAUGCCGCGUGUGUGAAGAAGGCCCUAGGGUUGUAAAGCACUUUCAAUUGGGAGGAAAAGCUAAUGGUUAAUAGCCAUUAGCCCUGACGUUACCUUUAGAAGAAGCACCGGCUAACUCCGUGCCAGCAGCCGCGGUAAUACGGAGGGUGCAAGCGUUAAUCGGAAUUACUGGGCGUAAAGCGCGCGUAGGCGGCUCUUUAAGUCGGAUGUGAAAGCCCCGGGCUCAACCUGGGAACUGCAUCCGAUACUGGGGAGCUAGAGUGUAGGAGAGGGAGGUAGAAUUCCAUGUGUAGCAGUGAAAUGCGUAGAUAUAUGGAGGAAUACCAGUGGCGAAGGCGGCCUCCUGGCUAACACUGACGCU